AAAUGGCUUGUCUAGUGUUGUUUGGGGUUAGAAUAUGUUAGAAUACAAUAAAUUUGAUUGAUUACAAGUGCUAGAUAUGAAUGAAGAUUGUUUAGAAGUAUGGAGAAAGACUUAUUGAAAUUUGGUCCCAAAUGGCUUUAGAACUCAGAAACAUUGCGUUGAACCACUAAAUGGCUUGUCUAGUGUUGAUUGGGGUUAGAAUAUGUUAGAAUACAAUGAAUUUGAUUAAUUACAAAUGCUAGAGAUGC
rnacentral:lncRNA from 1 species